GACGAACGCUGGCGGCGUGCUUAACACAUGCAAGUCGAACGGAAAGGCCCUGCUUUUGUGGGGUGCUCGAGUGGCGAACGGGUGAGUAACACGUGAGUAACCUGCCCUUGACUUUGGGAUAACUUCAGGAAACUGGGGCUAAUACCGGAUAGGAGCUCCUGCUGCAUGGUGGGGGUUGGAAAGUUUCGGCGGUUGGGGAUGGACUAGCGGCUUAUCAGCUUGUUGGUGGGGUAGUGGCUUACCAAGGCUUUGACGGGUAGCCGGCCUGAGAGGGUGACCGGCCACAUUGGGACUGAGAGACGGCCCAGACUCCUACGGGAGGCAGCAGUGGGGAAUAUUGCACAAUGGGCGGAAGCCUGAUGCAGCAACGCCGCGUGCGGGAUGACGGCCUUCGGGUUGUAAACCGCUUUCGCCUGUGACGAAGCGUGAGUGACGGUAAUGGGUAAAGAAGCACCGGCUAACUACGUG
rnacentral:rRNA from 1 species